CCUUGUACACACCGCCCGUCAAGCCACGAAAGUGGGGGGGGCCCGAAGUCGCUGAGCUAACCCGAAAGGGAGGCAGGCGCCGAAGGUCAACUCCGCGAUUGGGACU
rnacentral:rRNA from 1 species